AAGAGAGACUGUAUUUUAGGAAGAUGCCGGUGAGCCAAAGAGACCUUCUUCAGGUAAUGGAGGAAAACCGUAGACCUGAUAUGGCAAGACAAUCAACCAGAAGGAUAUCCCAGGCAGGGAAACUACUCUCACAAGUAUUUAUUUGUGCUAUGCACAUUCUCAAGAAUAACAGCAGCUUGGGUCAUCAACAGAGCUCUCCAAUACAGUUGCUUCAAGAUACAGACACAUAAGAAAAAAAAAAGGAAUUUGCUCAAUUAUAUCUUUUGUAUCCUUUUUUCCCCAUUAUUUUUUUUUUUUAAAUUUUCUUUUUAUUUUUCGUUCUUUUUUCCUGAGAGUAAAUAAGCAGUUUCUCUGCAGUCUAAUAUUUCCAUGAACUGAUGUUUAGGAAGUUACUACUAGUUUACUCCAUAUGAAAUUUCUUUAUGAAAUUAGUAUUUCUAAACUUUAUUGCAUUGUUUUUUGUACCUCACACAGGUCUUUUUCUGAUUUAAAAACUGAUGAGCAUAUGGAUUUUUUGAUUUAUACUUCUAGUUAUUAAAUGUAGAGCAAAUCCAGUACUGAAGUAGGCGAAGUAGUUCAAAUAACAUACUUUCUUACAUACUGUAAGUUCAAAGAACAUACUUUUCUGCAGCAGUGGCUUGUUCACCACAUGUAAAAUGAUCCUUCACUCCCUAUCUAAAAUCUAGCAAGUUACAUAAACUCUAAAUAAACUCUAAACUCCA